AUAUCAAUAAGCGGAGGAAAAGAAAUUAACCAAGAUUCCCUCAGUAACGGCGAGUGAACAGGGAUGAGCUCAGGCUUAAAAUCUCCUGGUUCUGCCAGGCGAAUUGUAGUAUUGCGAGUGGGGUACGGAGGACGGUCUCGGCCCAAGUUUCCUGGAAAGGAGCGCCCUUGAAGGUGAUAGCCCUGUGGGGCUGAGAUCAACACGUCUUUCGAACGUCCCACAUCGUAGAGUCGGGUUGCUUGGGAGUGCAGCCCAAAAUGGGUGGUAAAUUCCAUCUAAAGCUAAAUACGGGCGGGAGACCGAUAGCGCACAAGUA
rnacentral:rRNA from 1 species